rnacentral:rRNA from 1 species
UAGGGAAUCUUCGGCAAUGGACGGAAGUCUGACCGAGCAACGCCGCGCGAGUGAAGAAGGUUUUCGGAUCGUAAAGCUCUGUUGUUAGAGAAGAACGUUGGUAGGAGUGGAAAAUCUACCAAGUGACGGUAACUAACCAGAAAGGGACGGCUAACUACGUGCCAGCAGCCGCGGUAAUACGUAGGUCCCGAGCGUUGUCCGGAUUUAUUGGGCGUAAAGCGAGCGCAGGCGGUUCUUUAAGUCUGAAGUUAAAGGCAGUGGCUUAACCAUUGUACGCUGUGGAAACUGGAGGACUUGAGUGCAGAAGGGGAGGGUGGAAUUCCAUGUGUAGCGGUGAAAUGCGUAGAUAUAUGGAGGAACACCGGUGGCGAAAGCGGCUCUCAGGUCUGUAACUGACGAUGAGGCUCGAAAGCGUGGGGAGCAAACAGG